rnacentral:tRNA from 1 species
GGCCGGAUGCCCGAGUGGUCUAAGGGGGUACGUUCAGGUCGUACUAUUUUCGAAUGCGAGGGUUCAAAUCCCUCUCCGGUCA